rnacentral:rRNA from 1 species
UACGUAGGGGGCUAGCGUUGUCCGGAAUUACUGGGCGUAAAGCGUGCGCAGGCGGCGCGUUAAGACAGGUGUGAAAGCCCCCGAGCUUAACUUGGGAAUUGCGCUUGUGACUGGCGUGCUGGAGUGUGGCAGAGGGAGGUGGAAUUCCACGUGUAGCAGUGAAAUGCGUAGAGAUGUGGAGGAACACCGAUGGCGAAGGCAGCCUCCUGGGCCAGCACUGACACUCAUGCACGAAAGCGUGGGGAGCAAACAGG